AUUGAACGCUGGCGGCAGGCCUAACACAUGCAAGUCGAGCGGAUGACGGGAGCUUGCUCCUUGAUUCAGCGGCGGACGGGUGAGUAAUGCCUAGGAAUCUGCCUGGUAGUGGGGGACAACGUUUCGAAAGGAACGCUAAUACCGCAUACGUCUACGGGAGAAAGCAGGGGACCUUCGGGCCUUGCGCUAUCAGAUGAGCGUAGGUCGGAUUAGCUAGUAGGUGAGGUAAUGGCUCACCUAGGCGACGAUCCGUAACUGGUCUGAGAGGAUGAUCAGUCACACUGGAACUGAGACACGGUCCAGACUCCUACGGGAGGCAGCAGUGGGGAAUAUUGGACAAUGGGCGAAAGCCUGAUCCAGCCAUGCCGCGUGUGUGAAGAAGGUCUUCGGAUUGUAAAGCACUUUAAGUUGGGAGGAAGGGCAGUAAGUUAAUACCUUGCUGUUUUGACGUUACCGACAGAAUAAGCACCGGCUAACUCUGUGCCAGCAGCCGCGGUAAAAC
rnacentral:rRNA from 1 species